rnacentral:rRNA from 1 species
UACGUAGGGGGCAAGCGUUGUCCGGAUUUAUUGGGCGUAAAGAGCGUGUAGGCGGCCAUACAGGUCCGUUGUGAAAACUCGAGGCUUAACCUCGAGACGUCGAUGGAAACCGUAUGGCUAGAGUCCGGAAGAGGAGAGUGGAAUUCCUGGUGUAGCGGUGAAAUGCGCAGAUAUCGGGAGGAACACCAGUGGCGAAGGCGGCACUCUGGGCCGGUACUGACGCUGAGGAGCGAAAGCGUGGGGAGCGAACAGG